AAAGGGUGCGUAGGCGGCCUGUUAAGUCAGGGGUGAAAGACGGUAGCUCAACUAUCGCAGUGCCCUUGAUACUGAUGGGCUUGAAUGAACUAGAGGUAGGCGGAAUGAGACAAGUAGCGGUGAAAUGCAUAGAUAUGUCUCAGAACACCGAUUGCGAAGGCAGCUUACUAUGGUUCUAUUGACGCUGAGGCACGAAAGCGUGGGGAUCAAACAGGAUUAGAUACCCCAGU
rnacentral:rRNA from 1 species